rnacentral:pre_miRNA from 1 species
ACGCCGCACUGCCGUUGCUUUGGCGCUUUAGCUGUAUGAUAGAUUUGAAUACUUCAUAAAGCUAGAUUACCAAAGCAUUGGCUCUGUGGCCA